rnacentral:SRP_RNA from 1 species
GCAGGGUGUGGUGGUACAUACCUGUAAUCUCAGCUCUUGGGGAAGCUGAGAUUGGUAGAUCUCUUGAGCUUGAGAGAGUUGAGGUGAAGUGAGCUACACCAAUUAGGUAUUCAUACUAUAAUUCAACUUCAGCAUCAAUUUAGCAAGCCCCCAGGAGAAGGGCAGCCACUAGAAUGCCUCAGGAGGGGCAAACUGGCCUGUGUUCAAAAUGGAACAGGUGAGAGCUCCCAUGCUGAUCAGUAAGGGAUUAGCCCCGUGAGUGGCCCCUGCCCUCACAGCCUGGGCAAGAUAGGGAGAUCCAGUUUAA